GACGAACGCUGGCGGCGUGCUUAACACAUGCAAGUCGAGGGGGUUCGGUGGGCGAACCUGCGGAUCACCGGCGAACGGGUGCGUAACACGUGAGCGACCUGCCGUACCUGUGGGGGAGUAGCCGGCCCAACGGCCGGGUAAUACCGCAUACGCUCGUUUUGGGGUCGAUCCCGAGGCGAGGAAAGCGUGGGGGCGAACCCCACCGCGCAGGAC
rnacentral:rRNA from 1 species